rnacentral:rRNA from 1 species
GAUGAACGCUGGCGGCGUGCCUAAUACAUGCAAGUCGAGCGAACAGACGAGGAGCUUGCUCCGCUGACGUUAGCGGCGGACGGGUGAGGAACAGGUGGAUAACCUACCGAUAAGACUGGGAUAACUACGGGAAAGCGGAGCUAAUACCGGAUAAGAUAGUGAACGGGAUGGUUCAAUAGAGAAAGAGGGUUUUGCUGAGACUUAUAGAUGGAUCCGCGCCGCAUUAGCUAGUUGGUAAGGUAACGGCGUACCAAGGCAACGAUGCGUAGCCGACCUGAGAGGGUGAUCGGCCACACUGGAACUGAGACACGGUCCAGACUCCUACGGGAGGCAGCAGUAGGGAAUCUUCCGCAAUGGGCGAAAGCCUGACGGAGCAACGCCGCGUGAGUGAUGAAGGUCUUCGGAUCGUAAAACUCUGUUAUUAGGGAAGAACAAAUGUGUAAGUAACUAUGCACGUCUUGACGGUACCUACUCAGAAAGCCACGGCUAACUACGUG